rnacentral:rRNA from 1 species
GAUGAACGCUGGCGGCGUGCCUAAUACAUGCAAGUCGAGCGAACGGACGAGAAGCUUGCUUUUCUGAUGUUAGCGGCGGACGGGUGAGUAACACGUGGAUAACCUACCUAUAAGACUGGGAUAACUUCGGGAAACCGGAGCUAAUACCGGAUGAUAUUUUUAACCGCAUGGUUCAAAAGUGAAAGACGGUCUUGCUGUCACUUAUAGAUGGAUCCGCGCUGCAUUAGCGAGUUGGUAAGGUAACGGCUUACCAAGGCAACGAUGCAUAGCCGACCUGAGAGGGUGAUCGGGCACACUGGAACUGAGACACGGUCCAGACUCCUACGGGAGGCAGCAGUAGGGAAUCUUCCGCGAUGGGCGAAAGCCUGACGGAUCAACGCCGCGCGAGUGAUGAAGGUCUUCGGAUCGUAAAACUCUGUUAUUAGGGAAGAACAUAUGUGUAAGUAACUGUGCACAUCUUGACGGUACCUAAUCAGAAAGCCACGGCUAACUACGUG